CCUACGUGAGGCAGCAGUGGGGAAUAUUGGACAAUGGGGGAAACCCUGAUCCAGCGACGCCGCGUGAGUGAAGAAGUAUUUCGGUACGUAAAGCUCUAUCAGCAGGAAAGAAAAUGACGGUACCUGACUAAGAAGCCCCGGCUAACUACGUGCCAGCAGCCGCGGUAAUACGUAGGGGGCAAGCGUUAUCCGGAUUUACUGGGUGUAAAGGGAGCGUAGACGGCAGCGCAAGUCUGGAGUGAAAUGCCGGGGCUCAACCCCGGAACUGCUCUGGAAACUGUGAAGCUGGAGUGCAGGAGAGGUAAGCGGAAUUCCUGGUGUAGCGGUGAAAUGCGUAGAUAUCAGGAGGAACACCGGCGGCGAAGGCGGCUUACUGGACUGUAACUGACGUUGAGGCUCGAAGGCGUGGGGAGCAAACAGGAUUAGAUACCCCAGUAGUC
rnacentral:rRNA from 1 species